rnacentral:lncRNA from 1 species
UAACAUGUUAACCAUUAAUUGUUCUUUCCGUGCAAAGGUCGAAGUAGAUGCUCCAGCACGUGCAAAGGCAAUGAUCACAGUCACCUGCCGCACUGUGCCACGGCACCCCAUGCGGCAUAUGGACGCAGCGUCCUUCGUGGCUUCGCCUUAGCCAUUCUCCCUUCAUUGCAGACUGGAGCAAGAGAUGGUGCAUGCAAACCUGUACAGCCUGUUUGCGUUAAUGCCCUUGUCCAGACAAGUCUGCAGUUCUCCAGGGACUCUUCUCCAUGCACACCAACUCGAGCAGGAUGAGAAUCUGGCCGCCAUCUGUAUAACAUCACAGUGCUGUUCAACACCAGCACCUCUUACCUCCCCUUCCCUGGUUCAAAGCUGAAGCAAUUUCAUUACAAUAGAUGACAUAAGAACAAAUUGUUAAUUCUGUUUAAAUCUUGAGCUGCCCUUGACAUUCAGCAGCAAGACAUGAAUGUAUUGAAACAAGUGUAAAUAAGGCUAACGCAUCAAGAGAAUUGCUCUUAAAAUUGAAAAAUGUACUCAUUUGCUGACAGCAAUCUAUUUUCUCCUUGCAGAAUCGUAGCAGGGCCACUUGUGACUGUAGCUACAGUUGAGUCAGCAUUUUCAUUAUGAAUUGCCAUUUUCAAGAAUUUAUAUCUCGGUCAUUAAAAAAAAAUAAGUUCUUGGCUGAAUUUUCCGUACCAGCUCCUUGGGUCUGAUAACUCCUCUGCUCUCCACCUGGUACUAUAUCAGCUGUUCCUGCACAGCGU